CACAAACAAGAUCCUUGCAUAAGUCCCUGGUUUGUCCAGAUGUUGCAGAUGUAGUGCAGUCCCAUAUUAACCCAUCCCUUACACCUUAACCCACCCUUAAACCUACCCAUACCACCAAACCUGUCCCUACACUCUUAAAAGUGCUGGGUUAUUUCUGUAAACACAUUGUUGGGUUAAUUGUGCUGGGUCAUAAUUCUGGGUUGUUUGAGGUACUGUAAACACAUAGUUGGGUUGUUAGUGCUGGGUCAAAUGACUGCAAGGGGUUCUUUCACCACUGAACACCUGGGUUGGGUUAUUUUGACCCAACCGGUUUGUUUAUUUUUCCUCUUCAUCGAAUUUUCUGGAUUCUUCACUCGUCCCGUCGUCAGACGGUCAAGCAACUCGCAGCAAGCAGGAUUAUAAGGUAACUUUAGCUGCAUUAGCUACCCUUAACGUUAAACCACAAUAUUGCAGAAUUUGUUUUGCCUCCCAAAAAAAUUUGAGAAAUGGUGGAUUCGCAGUAAUGGGUCUACAAGCAUCCCAUAAAUCUUGAAGGAGUUCCCCAGGCUUCUAGAAAAACUUGGCAUGAUGCUAAAAGGAAGAGUGCUUUCAAAGUCCUGCCCACUCUGCUUCCCCAAUCAAUAUUCAAGAACGGAGGAAAGGUCUUCAGACCCACAACCACAGAAUCCUGGAAGUCAUUCAUUUGACGUACAACCUGUGGGGACCAACACGGUGAUGCAUUCCUGCACAUUUUGUGCCUUGGUGACGAGACAGCGACAUCCCACACCUUUGCCAUUGUUUCAGGCCACGCCGUUGAAACGGACUUGUUGCUUGAGGCUGUUUAUCUUUUUCAAGUCCUUUUUUGUGCUUGAUGUUAGCUACACUAACAUCUUCCUUCCAGGAAAUUUCUCCAGCAUGCAGUAUAUCAUAUUGAUGGACAUGAGUCUUCAUGUGUGAAGUAUUUGAGGGCAACAGUUUUUUCUGGCCACUUGUAACGUUUUAAUUUUUUGUCACAUGUAUUGUCUGUUGUAGGUCUCUUUGUUUGGCUUAGGUUUAAUGGCACAAUGUUUGGACUGAUUCUCAUGUGGCAAUAAUCAAUUUCAUAGUGUUAUGAUGCUGCAAUGUUGACAAAGAAUAGGAAUCUACAGUACCUAGUUCACAAAGUUUUAUGUUUUAAAGAAACUGAUCUACAAAAAACGUAUUUGUGUCUGUAGGGAUUGGGUGUAAUGUGUAACAGUAUAGCACCCAUUCAAAAAAAUGUUUAAAAAGAAAUGUGAAA